CAGUCGCCGCGGUAAUACGUAGGUGGCAAGCGUUGUCCGGAAUUAUUGGGCGUAAAGGGCUCGCAGGCGGUUUCUUAAGUCUGAUGUGAAAGCCCCCGGCUCAACCGGGGAGGGUCAUUGGAAACUGGGAAACUUGAGUGCAGAAGAGGAGAGUGGAAUUCCACGUGUAGCGGUGAAAUGCGUAGAGAUGUGGAGGAACACCAGUGGCGAAGGUGACUCUCUGGUCUGUAACUGACGCUGAGGAGCGAAAGCGUGGGGAGCGAACAGGAUUAGAUACCCGGGUAGUCCCUGUCUCUUAUAC
rnacentral:rRNA from 1 species